rnacentral:rRNA from 1 species
UACGUAGGGUGCAAGCGUUGUCCGGAAUUAUUGGGCGUAAAGAGCUCGUAGGCGGUCUGUCGCGUCGGCUGUGAAAACCUGGGGCUUAACUCCGGGCUUGCAGCCGAUACGGGCAGACUAGAGUUCGGCAGGGGAGACUGGAAUUCCUGGUGUAGCGGUGAAAUGCGCAGAUAUCAGGAAGAACACCGAUGGCGAAGGCAGAUCUCUGGGCCGUAACUGACGCUGAGGAGCGAAAGCAUGGGGAGCGAACAGG